AUUGAACGCUGGCGGCAUGCUUUACACAUGCAAGUCGAACGGCAGCGCGGGCUUCGGCCUGGCGGCGAGUGGCGAACGGGUGAGUAAUGCAUCGGAACGUGCCCAGUAGUGGGGGAUAGCCCGGCGAAAGCCGGAUUAAUACCGCAUACGACCUGAGGGUGAAAGCGGGGGACCGAAAGCCCUCGCGCUAUUGGAGCGGCCGAUGUCGGAUUAGCUAGGUGGUGGGGUAAAGGCUUACCAAGGCGACGAUCCGUAGCUGGUCUGAGAGGACGACCAGCCACACUGGGACUGAGACACGGCCCAGACUCCUACGGGAGGCAGCAGUGGGGAAUUUUGGACAAUGGGGGCAACCCUGAUCCAGCCAUGCCGCGUGCGGGAAGAAGGCCUUCGGGUUGUAAAACGCUUUUGUUCGGGAAGAAAUCCUCUGGGCUAAUACCCCGGGGGGAUGACGGUACCGGAAGAAUAAGCACCGGCUAACUACGUG
rnacentral:rRNA from 1 species